rnacentral:precursor_RNA from 1 species
ACUCGUUUCUUAGUAAUACUUUGUUUCGGUAUCUAUCCUAGCCCUUGCGGCUGGCACCCAGGCAAGUUUCCCUGCCUGGGUCCUUUUGGCUUUUUUUGGUGUGUUUGUG